rnacentral:rRNA from 1 species
UGGCGGACGGGUGAGUAACGCGUGGAUAACCUGCCGUAUACCGGGGGAUAACACUUAGAAAUAGGUGCUAAUACCGCAUAAGCGCACGGCUCCGCAUGGGGCAGUGUGAAAAACUCCGGUGGUAUACGAUGGAUCCGCGUCUGAUUAGCUAGUUGGCGGGGUAACGGCCCACCAAGGCAGCGAUCAGUAGCCGGCCUGAGAGGGUGGACGGCCACAUUGGGACUGAGACACGGCCCAAACUCCUACGGAAGGCAGCAG